GAAAACCUUCCUCUAAAGAUAGCUGUGGGAGAAGAUGAAUGGGGUGAUCGCCAUUGACCUUGGGUGUCUCAGAAGGAUGAACACUGAUGGGGCAAAUCUUUAGCUUCUUGUGACUUAGGAAAGGUAACAGAAGAACAACAUCAUGUAAUCCAAAGAAAAAGAAAGAUCCAAGGAGGAAUCAUCUAAAUACACCCUCAGAGAAGCUCCAAACACAAGACCCGCAACCCAGACUCAACACUAUUUGAACUCAGUGAGAUUUUCCAAAGGGGAAGCAAAAAUUUUCCUGGAGAAAACACU